rnacentral:lncRNA from 1 species
GGAUCGUUUUGUCGUUGAAGUCGCUGGUGUACUGCUGGGGGCGGUGGUGGCGGUGGGUGGACGAGCGGACGCAGGCGUACCAGAGCUUCGAGAUCCCGCGGUAUAGCGAGAGCGGGCAGGAGAACCCGCUGUACCGCCGCGCCGCCGCCUAUGUCGCGGCCCUCCCCUCCCUCGAGGACGCCGCUGCCGCCACCCUCUUCUCCUCCGGCCGCAAGCCCAACGACUUCUUCCUCCUCCUCGGCCCCGGCCAGUCCGCCGCUGAUUCCUUCCUCGGCGACCGCGUCUCGUGGACCAACGCCCCCGCCGGUGGAGCCGGCGGCCCCCGCCUCGUCCUCCGCCUCCGCCGCCAGGACCGCACCCGCGUCCUUCGUCCCUACCUCCAGCACGUUGAGUCCGUCGCAGACGACCUCGAGC